GCUCUGUGCUUAUCUUUUUAUAACAACGACGAAUAAAUACAUUGCACCUUCCCCUUUGGUAGCGACUAAAGGUUACUUUUUUAAUUGAGGCAUCUAGAAUCAUUGAUUUGCAUUGAUACACUGAAGGGAUUCACUACUGCUGUCUAGCACAAGUUGUGCCUUUGUUCCCCCUGCUAUCUGCGCCUCCUGAGCAUCAGGUUCUGUUAAUAUGCCAGUGGAAAGGAGCCCAUGAGGUUCUGCAGGUUGGAGCAAUGAGCCCUUGUUAGUGUCCACCAGAGCUUGGCCCCUCUCUUACAGGAGCACACUUGCGGCUUCUAGAAGGACUGCCAUUUACACCAACUGUGGAUCGUGGGUCUCAGGACAUCGCUGAGCGUUCACCUGGAGCUGUGAUGGUCGAGCCAGAAGAGACAAACCCAAAGUGACAUUUAACAUGGAAGUCCACCAGCUGAACACUAACGGGCCUCACCUCUAUCUCAGUGGAAGGAGCACAGGUGCUGGUUUAUAGGUCCAACUAUUUCAUCUGGAAGUAAAACCUGUGCAGACGACUAAACAAGUAGAGCAACUGCACUAAUCUACAGCGCCAUGGAAAGGUAUCUGUACCCCUCAACUUUUACACAUCUUGACUCAUAAACCACAAAGCCAGAUGUUUUUAUUGAGAUUUCCUGUGAUAGAAACGCACAAAGUAGCACGUAAACACUGAAUGGAAUGAAACUGACACAUGGUGAUGCUGCCCUGAUGAGGCCAGCAUCAGUGAGUUGCUGUGAAACACUUGAUCCCUGAGAAGGGUCAAACCAGCAAGCCUUGAAUAUGAAACGUGUCUCCAAGAUUUUUGCAACAUGAAUUAUUUGAUGAAUCGUUUCAGCCUUUGAAAGCAAACGCCUGACUGCGGGAGUUUAACCGUUUAUUCACAAAUGUGUUUCUGAAGUUAUCCAUUCUACAGCCAGCUACACUCUUAAAGAAGCCCAACAGCAACAACACCAGUUUUGUUUUGGCGCAGCUGAAAAUUCUGACCUUAGGCCAUGACUAAGAGCAGAAACAACAGCAGAGAUUCUGUAGCCUGGAGCUCAGACUCAUAGGUGUGGCCUGAUGUUGCCUAACCUGUUCACACACAACCCCGGUGGACGGCUCGGAGCAGACAGGAGCAAAUUGAGCGUACACAGCAGCAAACACUGAGGCUGAUCUUCAGAGGUGCGUUGAUUGUAAACAAGUUCUAGGUCACUUUUUUUUCCCUGCCUACAGGUGAGCUGAGCUGGUGAGGACAUCAGAGCAGCUAGAGCUCUAUGUGCGGCUGACAGGAGAGGAUCCACAGCAGCCUGAGCCUUAAGAGCUCUCCAAGCUGAGGCAUGUCCGCACAUGCUGGCUGAUGACUGUACAGGCGUGUGAGAGAAAUCUGUAGCCCGUUGCUCAAAAACCUCAUCAGGCAGCAGACGUAGGGCUUUUAUCUGUGGUUUGGAGCUAUCCAAGAGGCACUACGGGACAAAUAUUUACCUCCAAAGGGUGAUUUCUCUAUGCAUUCUGGGUAAAUACUUCUUGGUCCUCGUGGCCUUUGUGGUGUCUAGUAAUGAUGCACACACUUGUAGAUGAGUUUGGCGUGUCUGGAACAUGAGCCCAUGUGUUAUUGUUCACAACAGCAACAGGUGAGAUAACAACUGGUGUGUGGAGCACUCCUGCGUCAAAUAAAUCCAGGUUGAACAUGACGUUUAUUUUUGUCUCUUUCAGACUCACUUGGAGAGACAGUUAUUGUUUAUGGGCCAGACUAUCAUCAGUGUUACCCCCCAAAGUGUUGCUGGUAGAAAUGGGUCAGACAUGAACAUGACAGCGAGAUGAGGACGGGUAAUGACAGGAACAACAGAUCCGGAGCUACUCGCUCCUCCUCACAGGCCGGGUCAGGCCAGGGUCGUUGUGUUCUGAUAAAGAUUAAUGUUGACACGUUUUGGUUCCUGGGCAGACACACGAGAGGUAAACUAACCCCAACCCUAACUGCUGUCAAAUAUAGAAACAUGUCAGCCCAACAUCAACAUAAAUGCACUUUCACUUGAUUUUAAAGUUUUUAACCUAUUUUUGUUGAAGUUUGCUUGUUACAAAACAUCAGUGUGAGUGUGUGUGUGUGUGUGUGUGUGUGUGUGUGUGUGUGUGUGUGUGUUCUUGUACUUACUACCUAUUGAGAACCACCAUGAGGUUUAAACCAACAGUGUGAGGUCAUUUUUCAAAGUGAGGACAUUUAUAUUGUCCUCACUUUUUUUAAAGCUUACCAGUUACUUUUAGUGGUAUGAGUUUAAUGAAGUUUUUGUUGAGGUUAGGGUUAGGACUAGAUCAGCACUUGUUAUGUUAGGGCAUGGGUUAGGCAUAGUGGAGUCACUAAAAGGAAUGGAAGUCAAUGGAGGGUCCUCACUAUGAUAGUGCGUGCGUGCGUGUGUGUGUUCUGUAGAGUAAAGGGGAAUUCCGGCCAGGCCUCCAUUACUCAGACAGCAAACAGACAUUCUGACACACACUGAGGAUUCCUGAUCUCGUGCAAAGACACCGGUAAACUAACAACAAUCACCUGUUUGGUUCAAUAUGGUUUCUAUAAAAACUGUGUUUAUCUGUUAUUUUUGGACAAAAGCUGCUGCCUAAAGAACACAAAGGUGUUAACCCCAUUUCUAAAGAGAAAACAGUGCUCCAGGACCGCCAAACAAGAUGGCAGCUGUGUGAUUCACUGUUAGCCAUUCCUGAGUUUAAAUAAAGAAAAUUAAGAUGAUAGCCCAUUCAACAACUGCUAAAUAACUUUGUAGAAAGCAAGGCACUGUGUUCAAGAAAACAAAAAUACAUACAAGCAGGCACCUAAAACCAAAAAAGCCUCAACAUUUAAUGUCAUCCUUUCACCAUGACUGUCAGAAUGAGUCCAAGUGAGCACAACAGUGGCUGUUGUUCAGUUCUGUGUGUGUUUCUGACGGCUGAAGGUCCGUUUAAAGGGUAAAAUGUAGAAGUUUAAAAAGGAAUAUGUUGAUAAAACAAAUCAGUAACAAAAUAACAGUUCUGACAGUCAGAGUGGACACACACACACACAACAUGGCUGCAGGAUAUGAACCAACAACAGAGACUGUCUCAAACCCUUGUCAGAUUGACAUUCUGGAAUAUGUGUGGACAAUUCAGUCCGGUUUUUAACCAGAACUGUGUUUUCAGACACACCACUUUUGUAACAGAACUUGUCCUUUCGGCUGCCUUCACACAGCAGGGAAAAGUUCCAGAUGUCUGAGGGGGAGGGGGCGGGAAGGCCGUACGCGGGCGUACAUGCGUCAUUUACCCAAACAAAGCUAUUCAGUCAAACAUGGCCGACAAAGAGCUAGAAUUCCUCUCACUGAUCAGACUUAUGUUAAGCAUAAUUCUGCGCACAUGAAGACGCAUAAGAGACCUGGAUGAUGAAGCUCAAUGGUUAAUAAAGGAAUCAUGGAAGCGGUGUGAAGCGCUCCGACGCGCGUCUAGGAGACGGUACCGUAGGAGGCGAGCUGCCAUGGUUCGCCGCAUGCUACAGGAGCGAGCAAUCCGGCGUAUAUGGAAACAUUCACGACCAAGUGGCGAAGUUUUCUGGUCAAACGCGUUGAAAAACUUUGGAGAUGAGGAGUGGUAUCAACAUUUUCGAAUGUCUCGCAGGACCUUCGACUACCUGUUAAGUUUGGUUAGGCCUGCUUUGACAUGGAAAACUACAAACUGGCGCAGGCAUUACAAACCUUCCCUCAGGCUAGCCGUUGUUAUCUGGUGGUAUGCCACACCGUGCAAAUACAGAACCAUAAGCUGCCCGUUUGGUGUGGGUAUGUCCACUGUCUGUGGAUUUUUGCGAGAGGUGACAAGUGUUUGCUGGAACGUUUCAUUUCAUUACCAAAGCUGGACCAGCUACAGGUCACACUGGAUGGAUCUGCUUCACGCGGCUACCCAAUGUGUGGUGGAGCUAUAGAUGGAAGCCACAUUCCAAUCAUUUCUCCGAGGGACGAUCCAGCUUCAUAUCACAACAGAAAAGGCUGGCAUUCCAUUGUUCUGCAGGCUGUUGUUGACCACCGUUUCUGCUUUUGUGAGAGCAUGAAUUUUUAUGUUGCUGUCAAGAGCAAAUAUACAUUUAAUACGUCCCUCUGUUGUUUGGGGCUGUAAUGUUGCAGCACUAACGAAAUGCUUUGUUCAGUUUCACAGAUGUUUAUGUUGGUUGGCCUGGUCGAACACAUGACGCCAGAGUACUCAGCAAGUCUACCAUCUUCAUCAAAGCCGAACAACAAAACGGCUACCUGUUCUGCUGUGAGGUAUGCCUCAACCUAUAAAUCCACACACACACACCUCUAAUCUUUGUUUUCUGUCCUUCUAGAUGUCCAGAGACAUCAAUGGUGUAGAGGUACCAGUUCAUCUGAUCAGGGAUGCGGCAUAUCCACUGAAGAAGUGGCUGAUGAAGGGGUUCACACAACACCAUUGUCUGACGCCUGAACAAAGCACCUUCAACUAUCGUUUAAGCUCUGCUCGGAUGGUUGUUGAAAAUGCAUUUGGGCGGCUUAGGGGGCGCUGGACGUGUCUGGCCAAGCGUUGUGAUGUGGACAUUCACAUCAUGCCGGACAUUGUGAUUGCUUGUUGUAUUCUUCACCAUGUCUGUGAGAUCAACAAAGACAAUUACCUUGCUGACUGGAACACUGAUGCCACUGAACUACCUGAACCUAAUGUAGAAGCUUUGUAUGUACCUCCAGUUGGAGGGGCACAGCAAAUUCGAGAGGCAAUCAUGUCUGUACUUUAACUGCAUUUCAAAGUGAUUGUGCUUCUUGUCCAAAACUGUGUUAUACAUUCUGGGACUGUAACUAUGUCAGCUUCCCCUAACUAAAAAGCAUCAAACUUUAACAGUGUUAACCAUUCUUCACAUAGAUCAGAAUGCAUUCUUAAUUUCACCAAAAAAGGUUUUUAUUUGCUAAGCAAAAAAGUAUAAAUAGACACUGCAAACUGUUGCACAUGAAACACUCCAAAUAGCAGCAGCAGGAAACUGAGUCAUUGUAGGUUCCACACAGUAACAGCAUUAUAAAUGUUGUCGUGCAAAAUCUGUCGCUUCUCAAGUAAAAGCAAAGAUUAAUUAAAAUGUGCAAAGCCAUGUCAAAAAAUUAAAACUCAAUAUCUCCCCCAAAAAAUACUUCUAAAGGUUUAAUAUUCAAGGCUUGUAUAUAAAAAAACUGCUAAUUUCACUAGAUUAAAGGCUCAGUAUUCAAGCAUUGUACAAAUAGCAAUAGUAAAAAAAAAAAGUGUAAAAAAAAAAA